rnacentral:lncRNA from 1 species
UCUCCUCUUCCCCUCCUUAUCUUGGUUACAAAUUCUCCCCUUCUCUCUCUCUCUCUCUCUGUCUCUCUCUCUCUACUUUUUUUUUCACCUCAUCUAAAUUAGAAUCUACUUUGUUUCUCUUGAUUUCUCCUUUUUUUUAUUUUCUUUUUUGUGUUUUGUUUCUGCUUUGUCGAAGGAAUUUUUUUUUUUUUAGGGAUAGAUAGCACGUUACCCGCUUCGUUUAUUUCAUUUACAAAUAAACUUAGCUGGAAAUAUGAAUCAACUAGGAUUCGAACUUGGGUCUCGGAUACCAACCACCAAGCCUUUUACCACUUGCUUUAGGAACUGUCGGUUUUGUCGAAGGAUUUUAGUAUGCUGGUUUAUAAUAACUACGUACUAUAGUUGAUUGGACUAUUUUUCUUUACACAGAAGAUUCUGGCUUAAUCAUUCUACUGAGAAAGUAUGAUAUGCGAUAUUCUAACCCUUUAAAAUAGAUUUAUCUUAUUAGAAACGAAGUCAGGAUUCGGAUUUGGAGGAGGAAAAUAAUAUAAGUAAUAACUAUAGAACUUAUACGAUCUAUAGAUCAUUUUGAAUAUACUAUUCAAUUUUUUAAAUUUUGAUUUUACUAUUCAACCUUUUCAUUUGUUUAAUUUGAGUUAGGCAACGAAAUUUUGACUUCAAAUUUAAGCUAAUUAUUUAAUUUAAUAAAUUUAUAAUUGUAAGAAUUGUAUGAAAAAUACUAAUUAAAUAUGUAAAGUUAAAUGAUGUAUUCAAAUUUUGAGGUCAUAGUACUGUUGACUAACUCAAAUCAAUUAAAUGAAAAGAUUGAGUAACAAAAUAAAAAAUUUAAAAGGUUGAGUAAUCGAUUCAAAACGGUACAUAAUCCGGGUAAAUUUUAUACGUUUUUGCAAAAAAUAUAUAAUAUAUUUGACCUAGGCUGGAAUACUAUCAAUAGCACCAAGCGUUUGGUGCUAUCAGGUUUUCGGCUCUUGGAUUAAAAAACGUACGGUUAGGAUGAUGUGGGUCCCCUAGGAUUGAGUGAGUUAUUAGUUUAAUAGUAUAAUCUAACGGAUAAAAAUAGUCAAAGGGUUAAAUCUAACGGCGGAAAACUUGAUAACACCAAAUGCAUGGUGCUAUUGAUAGUAUUCCAGGUUUCCAGCCGAACUCAAUAUAUUUACCUUAAAAAAAUUACAAAAUAAAUUGUAAU